CGAUACUUGGUGUGAAUUGCAGAAUCCCGUGAACCAUCGAGUUUUKGAACGCAAGUUGCGCCCGAAGCCAUUAGGCCGAGGGRAYGUCUGCCUGGGCGUCACAC
rnacentral:rRNA from 1 species